UUCCACGAAGAAGCUAUGGUUAGUUAUAUUACUUUAAUUUUAGUACAACCGACGUAUAUAUGUGUGUUUAAUAUAACUCCUGUCACAUCUGUAGCUAGAUUAGCAAAUGAUUCUUACAAUUUUCUAUACCGUUUCCUACUUUUCUUUUCGAAAUAUUUUAGUACAGAAAUUUCGGACAGUGCAGAUUUCGGACAGAAUAUAGAUCUAACAAUUGUCAAUAACAAUUGUGUUAAUUGUCAAGCUAUUAAACCAAUUUGAUUGUUAUAAUUAGUUAAGUAUGUUCUUUUGUAGACCUUUCAAUGAAGUUGCUACAGUAUCUAUGUGAAAGACAAGUCUUAAUAAUGUGAAAUCAACAUGGCAACAUUAUGUUAACCUACAGUACAGUGCUGUAAUGGGAAUACAAAUGAAACUGCAGCACUGUUGUUUGGUAAAGCAUGUACAUGUAUGCGAAAUGAACAUCUUUAGAUCCAAUUUGGUGUAUCACAUGAAAAGAGGAUUGUAAACAAAGGACAAGUAACUUGUGCAGACAGAUAUAAGGCAGCAUGAAUAGUUAGUACUUGGUGCAUCUGCUGAUUAAUGUGUUUGUCAAAGAGGACAUUAACAAUGAUGAGGCUGUAUAUCACCAGUAUUACUGCUGAAUGAUGGAAGGUUUUACAGCUAAACAAUCUUAUGAUUGGAAUCAAUAUCCAGGGGCAGCUCUCCCUUACAGGGUCCAAGUGUUGUGACCUUGUUAUAUGGCCAACAAAGGGCAUAUAAGUCCUAAAGAUAGUUCAGAAUAAAGUUAUAUAGACUAUCAAACAUUUCAUCAAUUUACCAAUAUCUGUAAGAUAAGGUACAUUAUGUAUAAUCUAAUACAUUCCAUAAUAACUUUGUUUCUACAUGCACAUGAAUAAAAAUAACACUUAAGUAUGGUCACAAAGGGACAGUCAGUGAUCUACAAUUAUUACCCUGAAUGCAUGUAAGAAGCUUUAUGUGAAUGCUUUUAAUGAUUAAUGAAAACAUAUACAUAGGUUAGGUCUUUAAGUUGUUUUUGAAUAUAUAUUUUGGAUGGUACAUGUAUGUACUGACUGUAUAUUCACUUGUCUUAAGUGUCAAAACUAUAUAUAGCUAUUGAUGUAUGUCAAAAUCAAAUAUCUAUAUUUCUUGAGGUGAUAACUUUACUAAAUCAUUCUCUUGAAUAACAUUAUGAAAUGUUAGACUUGAAAGGAAUACACAGCCAAAUGAUGUUCUUCUCUGUAUUCAAUUGGAUUAAAGUGACUUUGAAAAAAAAGAUUUAUGUGUUACAAUUCAUAACAUGAGAUAAAUCAAUGUAACAUAUGUGUUUAUAUUGAUAUUUAUUGAUUUAUUGUUACUUGAAUGCAUUAAAAUUGUUGGGAUGAAUAUUAAAAACACAAAGAAAAUAACACAAAAGGGACACUAAUUGAAAUAAACAAUUGUAAUACAGAAUUCCCUGGAAGUGACAAUUUAUCUUUAAUGUGCUAAGUUUAUAAUCAUCUUUGUCUUAACUGCUCUUGUCUGAAUAGUACCUUGUGUCUGUUAAAACAUAUUAUUUUUAUAUUGUUAUCUACUUUCAAGGUUGUUUUCUAGUAGAUAUGUAAAUAAAUUCUCAACAGGUAUCAUAAAAAAAUAAUAUGAAUUAGAAAAAGUUGUAACAUCUCAUUUCAAUGUCAUAAUUUACUGUCCUAUAUCUAUUUAUCAUACUGGAAUAAUAAUAAAUGACUGUAACAUUCCAA